rnacentral:rRNA from 1 species
AUUGAACGCUGGCGGCAUGCCUUACACAUGCAAGUCGAACGGUAACGGGCCUUCGGGUGCCGACGAGUGGCGAACGGGUGAGUAAUGUAUCGGAACGUACCUUUCAGUGGGGGGUAACGUAGCGAAAGUUACGCUAAUACCGCAUAUUCUGGGAGCAGGAAAGCAGGGGAUCGCAAGACCUUGCGCUGAUUGAGCGGCCGAUAUCAGAUUAGCUAGUUGGUGAGGUAAAGGCGCACCAAGGCGACGAUCUGUAGCGGGUCUGAGAGGAUGAUCCGCCACCCUGGACCUGAGACACGGUCCAGACUCCUACGGGAGGCAGCAGUGGGAAUUUUGGACAAUGGGGGCAACCCUGAUCCAGCCAUGCCGCGUGAGUGAAGAAGGCCUUCGGGUUGUAAAGCUCUUUCGGCCGGGAAGAAAUCGUAUCAGCUAAUACCUGGUGCGGAUGACGGUACCGGCAUAAGAAGCACCGGCUAACUACGUGCCAGCCGCCGCCGUAACAC